CUCAUCCAGCAACCUUGGUCUCUCUCUUUCUCCCUCAUCCAGCAAACCGUGGUCUCUCUCUCUCCCUCAUCCAGCAACCUUGGUCUCUCUCUCCCUCUCCAAAUCCCCCCUCACUCACUUUCUGUCCUGUUCUCUUCCUCUUUGUCUCCUACUUAUUGAAGGACUGUCUUUUUUCUUGUUUAUAUCUUUGGGUGUCUUUCUGACGUACCAACCUGUUCUUUUGUUCCUACACAUACGCAGAGAGCACUAAAAUAGCCUCCGUUUGUCUUUAACUAUGUGUGUUUGUGUCCCCAUCAGUGCUUUGUGUGUAUGGGUGUGUGUAUGGGUGUGUGAAUGCGUGUGUGUAUGCGUGUGUGUAUGGGUGUGUGUAUGGGUGUGUGUAUGCGUGUGUGUAUGGGUGUGUGUAUGGGUGUGCGCGCGUUCGUGCAUGCUAUAAUAUUGUAUGUGAGAGCAUGUGUGUGUACAUUGUGCUUGUGUUUUUCUGUGUCAGUCCCUGACCCCAACAGGAGUCCUGGCGGUGAGAACAGGGAUUCUAGCCAAUGCUCCUGCCUCCCUUUGGUCUCCGUGUCCUACAACAGUCAGAUGAGCAGAGCGGAGGAACAGAGGCAGGCUUCCACGGAGACCUGACAGGUGUGUUGCGUGUAUGUAUUUACUGCUCAGCCUGUUAAAUUGGCGUCUCACAGACCCGGCGUCCCUCAGAUCCUGAGUCGAUGAGAGAGAGCUCUGCCUGCUCUGAGCCUUCCAUCUCACUCUCACUUCAAAUUUCCAUUUUAGUCAUUUAACAGAUGCUCUUAUCCUCAGUGACUUACAGUAGUGACUGCAUUAUGUUUUCGUACUUGUUCAUUCUCAUUCUGUCCCCUGUGGGAAUUGAAACCACAACGCUGGCAUUGCAAGCACUAUUCUCUACCAACUAAGACAUAACAAGUUGUGAUAUGUAUAUUUAAUAAUAGAAAAUACCAUAAAAAUUCAUAUUGUAUGUUCUGUAAUGCCUAAUAUGUACAUGAAACGCGAGUUGCAUCAUCAUUUUUGAAAUGACCUCCACGACUGCGUCUCGUCUCAACGCCGCACAUCUACGGUGGUACUUUUUGAAAUGGGAGAAGACUGACUCAUUGAAAUGGUCCCUGUUCAUCCCAAGGCAUAUGCAUUUCAACCCAUUCGUUGCGGUGGUCCAAUCGCUGUUUCCGUUUAAACCAGGAAAUAUAGUUUUGCCCAUAGAGAUUAGUUAGCCCCAGAGGUGACAAAAUAGUUAACUAACCAGUUGUUUAAAAGCACUAAAGUAUAUCUCUGGCUGCUGCGAUUGAAUUAUACAGAUCCUGACGCAAUCCACAAUGCCCAUUUGCUGGCUACAAGACCACGCGUUUAUUCCGAAGUUGCAGCCAAUCUGAAAACAUUGUUUGCAUCCCAGAGGCAUUGAACUUUCUCUUCUAAUUCUCGUCAAUGAAGUGUGCACUGGAAAUCCAGAAUCCAGGGCAACAGAUGGACUUUGGCGCUUCGUAGCUACAAGCCAUUGUCCCGACACUGAUUGCCAUUGACCAUGGUCGUGACGCUCAAGAUGGCUGUGCCCUAUCGGUCAACUGGAAUGUGCACGUCAUUUUUAGUUACCACUGGCCGUUUUGGAUUUUGAGCUGUUGGAACAUGCUUCGUAAAAUCCCAUACUGCAUAAAUCAAUGCAGUUCCACUUUAACAACCCCACCAGCUCCUGACCUAUUUGUGGGAGGUGAUUGGUGAAUGGAAGGAACGGAUCCAGGGAAGAUAGGAGGAAGUGAGAUGGGAGGAGAGCACAGAGAGGUGUGUUGACGGGAAAGGGAGGAGCUCAGGGAAGAGAGGAGGAAGUGAGAUGGGAGGAGAGCACAGAGAGGUGUGUUGACGGGGAAGGGAGGAGCUCAGGGAAGAGAGGAGGAAGUGAGAUGGGAG
ensembl:lncRNA